rnacentral:misc_RNA from 1 species
UCGCCGUCGAAGUGCCGCCCGUGAAAUUCGUCGAAAAAACGCGAAAAAUCGGGGCUCGGCGGAACCACAGCGGCGCCGAUGAGCACAACAGUGCCGCAUGAUCGCACGGAAACUGGGUCGCCGGAAAACGAACGAAAGUUUAAGGUCUACAAAAUUGUGCUCACCGGAGGACCAUGUGGAGGCAAAACUACAGCUCAGGUCCGUCUCGCCACAUUCUUCGAGAAUCUCGGCUGGAAAGUGUUCACCGUCCCGGAGACAGCCACAAUUCUUCUCGGAGGCCGCGUCAAAUUCUCCGAGCUCGACACGGAGCAAUCGUACAUUUUCCAACGCGACUUGCUCGCCACAAUGCACCAAAUCGAGAACACCUUCUUCAAUCAAGCGUCGGCGAUCAAGGAUCGCAAUGUUCUGAUCAUUUGUGAUCGUGGAUGCAUGGAUCCGUCGGCAUACUCAUCACCGGAAGACUGGCAACGGAUGUUGAAGGAUCUGAACUACGAGGAGUUUGAUCUCCGAUGCUCGCGGUACGAUCAGAUUGCUCAUUUGGUGACAGCGGCCGAUGGAGCCGAGAAGUACUAUACGCUUGCGAAUAAUGCCACGAGAAGUGAAGGAGUCAGUCAUGCGAUGGAGUUGGACAAACGGACAAGAUCCGUUUGGAUUGGACAUCCGUAUAUGGAUAUUAUCGAUAAUAAGAACACUUCCACAUUUGAUGAUAAGGUCAACAAGUUGAUUCAGGUUGUAUGUGAUCGUACUGGAAUCCGCUCAGGAGACCGUCUGGCCAAAGAUUCAAAGAAAAGAAAAUGGCUGGUGUCAGCUGUCGACUGGAAAAAUUUCGGCAAAUUCGAGGAAUUCGACAUUGAGCACUUCUACUUGCUCUCCGACGAGUCGAAUAUUCAACAUCGAUUCCGUCGCCGUACUCAGAAUAAUCGAUCUACCUACACACUAACGUCACGGGAAUACUUUAAAGAAUCGAAAGAUUCGAUUGAAACACGAAUGAAUGUGCUCUCUCGGGACUAUAACACGUACGCGAAUAUGCGGGAUAAGAGCCGUGCGUCGAUCUACAAAAAGCGGCGGUGCUUCAUGUAUGGGAAUAUGUACUUUAAUAUGGACAUCUACAGUGAUCCUCUCCCGCCACAGGCCAACGGAAAUCAUUUGAUCUUCCUGGAGACGUAUACGACGGUUGUCAAGGGAACACCACUGCCCGAAGGAUCGAUGCCGCCGUUUUUGACUAUUGAGAAGGAAAUCACCGGUGACAGUCAAUACUCGAUGUACUCGCUCUCGAAAUACACGAAAGUUGCCAACAAGAAUGAGUUCGCCGGAGCCGACAAAUAUAAGGAUGAUUGAGAGCAUUUUUCCCCUCGUUUUUCCCCCCGAAAAAUCAGUAUUUUUCUAUUUUUCCUCGAUUUUCUGAUGAUUUUUGUAGAAAACUCUUAAAUUUUUUGCUGAUUUUCUCGAUUUUUUUUCUAAAUUUUCCUCCAAAAAAUCCCUCACGGUGCUUUAAUCUUUGUUUUACUUUUUUUCAGUUUUUUUAUUUUAUUUUUUUCCACAAAACUCCCCCCAUCCCGAUCCCGCCGCCGAUAAUAUCACAAAAAUCUAUGUGUUCACUUUUCCAAUUCGUCAUUCACUUUUUUUAUAGUUUUUAAAAUCAUUUUUCUGUCUUUGUUAUCUGUUUUUUUUUACUUUUUCUUGCAUUUUUCCACCCUAAAAAUUGUGUUCCCCCGUUUAAAUUAGCGUAUCCUCCCAGAUUUUUCAUCUAAUGAACUUAAACGAC